UACAGAGGUCCCAAGCGUUGUUCGGAUUCACUGGGCGUAAAGGGUGCGUAGGCGGUCGGGUAAGUCUGAUGUGAAAUCUCACAGCUUAACUGUGAAACUGCAUUGGAUACUAUCCGGCUCGAGGAAUGGAGGGGAGACUGGAAUACUUGGUGUAGCAGUGAAAUGCGUAGAUAUCAAGUGGAACACCAGUGGCGAAGGCGGCCCGCUGGGCAGUGGCUGACGCUGAGGCGCGACAGCGUGGGGAGCAAACAGG
rnacentral:rRNA from 1 species